AUUGAACGCUGGCGGCAGGCCUAAUACAUGCAAGUAGAACGCAUUUGCGAACGGGUGAGUAUCGCGUAGGUAACUGCCUCAUAGCGGGGGAUAACUAUUUGAAACGAUAGCUAAUACCGCAUACUGUGAGAUGGACCUGCGUUGUAUUAGCUAGUUGGUGAGGGAAAGGGUCACCAAGGCGACGAUACAUAGCCGACCUGAGAGGGAGGACGGCCAAACUGGGACUGGAGAACGGCCCAGACUCCUUCCGGAGGGAGCCGUAGGGGAUCUUGGGGAAAGGAAGGAAGUCUGAACGACCAAAGCCGGGGGGGUGAAGGAGGUUUUCGGAUCGGAAAACUCUGUUGUUAGAGAAGCGGUAGCUAACCAGAAAGGGACGGCUAACUACGUGCCAGCAGCCGCGGUAAUUC
rnacentral:rRNA from 1 species